CCUUGAGUUUCAACGGUUCCAGCACGUAUUUUGACCGUGCAAAGGUAGCGCAAUCACUUGUCUCUUAAAUGAGGACCUGUAUGAAUGGCACAACGAGGGCUUAACUGUCUCCUUUCCCCGGUCAGUGAAAUUGAUCUUCCCGUGCAGAAGCGGGAAUCCUAACAUAAGACGAGAAGACCCUAUGGAGCUUUAGACUCCAGAACAGAUCAUGUAAGCUACCCCCAUAAAACAGGUAAUAACUAUUGAAUUUCUGUUCCCCUGUCUUUGGUUGGGGCGACCACGGGGAAGAAAAAAACCCCCAUGUGGACCAGGAGCACAUUACUCCUACAACCAUGAGCCACAGCUCUAAUGCACAAAACCUUUGACCAUUAGAUCCGGCAAAGCCGAUCAACGGACCAAGUUACCCUAGGGAUAACAGCGCAAUCCCCUUUAAGAGUCCAUAUCGACAAGGGGGUUUACGACCUCGAUGUUGGAUCAAGACAUCCUAAUGGUGCAGCCGCUAUUAAGGGUUCGUUUGUUCAACGAUUAAAGUCUUACGUGAUCU
rnacentral:rRNA from 1 species